UUCAAAUUUCAGACGCUCCACCGACUCUGUGGUCCGUUAGGAGGAGGAUUCGAUCUUGACUGUGAGCAUUCUCAAGAUAUUUAAAUAAGGUUUCCCGUUAAGGAUUGACAGAGUUCAUCUUCUGGCGUCCGGGUGAUGGGACUCCGAAUAUUGGUUUUGUGGGUUUAGGUUUUCCUAAUAUUCAUGAUAAUUUAUGAAGAUGCCUUUUGUGGGUGGUGGUUCUUACAGUUUUUGCUUUUCGGAAUUCGAGGCCGAAAUAAAUUGAGGUUCUUGUUGUUGUUCGGUUCUUGUGGGUGGUGGUUCUUACCCUUUUUGCUUUUCUUUGAGGCCGAAAUAAGUCGAGGUUCUGAUUGUUGUUCGGUUCUUUUUGGAAGAUCUAGGGUUCGAUAAUCCAUGUUGGUCUAGCCUUGGUCUUAAUUUGGUGUUUUAUGGAAGCCAUUCAGUUUGAUCAACACAAUCAAAUUAGAGGACAUGAUUGUCGAUCAAGACAAUUGGGAUUCUUUGUUGUUGCUGGUUCGUUCGGAAGGGUUAACCAUUAUUUUCUUAUGGCGGUUGGUCACUUAUGUUGUGGGUUUAGAUAAUAAUUAUUCAUGAUAAUUCAUAUUUGAAAUUGUAAGGUUCCAUUUUGCCGUUUCAUGGGUGGUGGUUAUUUCAUAUUUUGCUUUUUUGAAUUCGAGACCGAAAACCAGUCGAGGUUCUGAUUGUUGUUCCUUCGAUAAUUCAUGUGAGGCUUCGCCUUGGUGCCCUUUCGUUAGAUCAACCCAAUUAAAUCGGACUUGAUUGUCGAUCAAGACAAUUGGGAUUCUGGUUGUCGCUGGUUCGUUUGGAAGGGUUAACCAUUAUUUUCUUAUGGCGGUUGGUCACUUAUGUUGUCAUAACGAAUGUGGUUGUUUCAUUCCCCUGAAUACUGUGGCUCUUAAAUUUGCUUGCCACGGGGAAAAGAUGACAGACAGCAAUACAGGCAUUAAAUCUGAACAUCUAUAAUGGUAUUUUUUGCUACCUUUUGCUUGAGUCUUCAAAUUCAAGUGAAGAUGAUCGGAUAUAGAAUGUAUAUUUACUAUUUUGCAAGGGUAUUAUUUUUGUUUAUGCAGUUAGCGAUGAUAUGUUAUACCAGUUUGUAACCACCCCUCCAACGUCCAAAGUAUAUCUCGGACUUGGUCCAUAGCUUAAAAGACCACUGCACUUGUCUCAAUGAACUUGUUCAUGCAACAGAGUAUGCUUCAUCUCUUUUAUUAUAGAAAUAUAUUUCCUUAUCGGGAGCUAGUAGUUGUAUACUUAAAAGCAAUGGAACACAAAACUGGUCAGCUUGUUGCUGGGAGGCAUGUACUGAUGAGAAAAUAAAGCAAUUGCUUGUGGAAACUGAUAAAAUUCCAGAUGAUCUGCAUUGCUUUAACGAUGUGAUUUCUAUUAAUGAGACUUCGUUGGGUGGACUGGUUACGAAAAAUCUUCUUAAUUUGCUCGUCUUCCCCGCACUGCUCUCAGUAUUCCUGCUAAAGCAGACUAAGGUAAGAUAUUUUCUUCCUGGUAUCCUUUUUUUCAUUGUAAAUGAGCUAAAUAGGAAUGUAUUUUCUUAUUGUUGUUUUAGAUUUUGACUAUGUGUUUGAGAAAUUCCAAGAAAUAGCAUGUUUUAUGCUUGUCAGAAGUAGGGUCAUGGGUUUUGUCAAGAAUGAUAUAAUUAGAAACAUCCAUCAUUCAGUUUGAUGAGAUCCACUAGGAAUCACAAAUGCAGCGGAAUCAUUUGACCCAUUCUUUCCCCACAAUUCACUAUGGAGCUACAGGAAUCUUGAUGACUCAUAUAUGUCUGAAUGUAAUUUGUGUGGUUGGUCAUGCUUGUGGUACCUAUUUUGAAGUUUGAUUGUUUAUGAUAUUAUGGUAGCUUAUCUCAGAACAAAGUUAAUCUAAGUCAUCUCUUUAGACAUAUUUGAUAUUUUCGCAAUGCGAGUUAAUUGGUUUUAUUGAAAGUGGCAUGUGAUCUCAUGAUCUGAGAGGGAGCCUCUACUUACCUUCUUUGUUUUGAUUCAAUAGCCAGUGUGCUUAUGGUAUUUCCUCUGUUACCUUUGGUAGCAAAGGUUAUCGUGAAAUUCUUGGCGCAUUGGUCUGUUAAGAAAGUUUAAAUUCUAGUCUCCUAAAAGCCUUCUGUCAUCUAUAUUUUGUUUUCCUCUGACCGUACUCGACAUUCAAUUGAAGUUUUUUACUUGGAAUGUUCAAAAUUCUAGUACAAUUCAAUGUAUGCAACUUUUGUUUGUAGUGUCAAAGCUGUACCAAGGCUUGUCUUAGAUUGAGUUAAUUUAGGCAAGACUUUUAGGAAGGUUUUGAAGGUGAUUCUUGUGGCUGGUCAUGCUUGUGGUACGUGGUUUGAAGCUUGUUUGUUUAUUAUAUUUUGGAUGUAGUUCAUUUAUAAGCAAGGUGGUUUCUGAUGAUGGUAUUUGUUUAGUUCAUUAUGUCUAGCAGUUCUAUUUCUUUGAUGUUUUAGGUGAUUGGGUUAUUUGCAGGAACUCUCUUCCCAGAUGUACUAUCGUCCCUUAUGUUGUAAUUAGGCUCUUGAGAAAUCUGUGGCUCAUUGCGGUAUGAAAGAUUUGGUCCUCAUCUUCUCUUGGAAGUGGACAUUCUGUUACUUUUCUCAUCUUUUCUUGAAAUUUUCUAGGCUUCAUGGCACAUAUAAUUCUCCAACCACUGUACUCUCUAUGGCAGUUUUUUUUAUUGACAAGGAACAUGGGUCUCAUUAAGGUGCUGUACUACGAAAUUUUAGCAACAUGUUGGUUGAUGUGAUUGGUCUCGUAGUUUGUUGUUGUUGUUGUUGUGUCUAUUUUGAAGUUAAAGUUUGUCGAUGUUUGGAAAUUGUUAUUUUUGUAUUUAUAUCUUUCCUGUGAUAGGCUUCAUAGUUUAUAGGCUAUAGUUUUCUUUGGAUGUUCUAUUCCAGCAGGGUUUCUGACUUUCUGUAGGUGACUGGUUUCAUGGUCUUCUUGAAAAGUAGCAUGGGAUAGCAUUAUCUAAGAGGGAGUCUCUACUUACGCUUCUUUACUCCUACUGCUUGGGUGCUUAUUUAUGAUUCUGUAUUGUAUUUGGCAAUGAGGCUUUUGCGAAAUCUUCCUAUGCUGUUGAUAAUAGCGUACUUUCUGAGAUGUGUAUUGGUUUAGUUCAUGUACACAGCCGUUCUAUUGCUUUUGUGAUUUAAGGUUACCAGCUUUUGCGAUGGUAAAAUUUCUGCCUACCUGGUUAAGUUUGUGAAUCAUAGUCGGGAGCCCCGUUUUUUUUACCUGUUAGUUGAUAUUUUUCUUAGCUUGAAUAUAGAUUUUUGGGAUGCUUAACAUGCAUGAAGUAGAAAUAAUUAUAGAAAUGCCCUCUUAAUAAGAAUAUGAGGGCCAGAGUUGAGAUUGGUUUUCUUUCUUGCAGAACUUUCUAUUUUGUUAAUUUCUGAAAAACUCGGAUUGCCAAAAUAGCCAAAAUACAUCUUUUCUUCUGCAGCAAUUGUUUUCUUCAUUGGCAUAAAAAUAUGAUAAAUGGCAUGGAAAAUUUUGAAUUCUGGGUUUGGAUUGUGGGCAGUUUUGUUCAUAUCUCGUCACCUUCUACUUGUGCUUCCUUUUCCUUUUUUUUUUGGAUUGAAUUUUUUGUUUUGCAUUAUAUGCUUAAUGUGCCUUUCCCCCUCUCCUUCUCGUGUGUUUUUUAACUGUGGGUUUUGAUGGGUUUCUUUACUGUGGGUUUUGAUGGGUUUCGAUGAUGUCAAUUAUUACCGCCGAUUCUCAACAAGUAUCUAUUGCAUGAAGAGUUUGUCAGGUACUUCCCUAACUUUGGAUGAGAAAUGAUAUUUUUAAUUUUACCAGCUGGUACCUAAUUAAAUUAGGUGAUUGAUUUCUGAAUUCUUCUUGCUGAUUUAAUUACUACAAACCUUUUGAUAUUUAAGAAGUCUCUAUCUGAUAAUGGCCUAUUUUAAAUGUCGUUAUUUACUGGACAAAAAAGGUUAUUUGCUUAUUUAUACAUGCCCUUUCUGGUUUCUAUGCGCUCGUGCCAUGUUUGUCAAAUUUCCUUUAUAUGGGAUAGUGUAUUCCCCCCUGUGAAUUCUGAAUCAAUUGCACAUAACUGUGACGGUAAGCUCCUGGAAUGGCAUGACUUCACAUUUAUAAUUUAUUUGGCAUUUACUGACACUUUAUGCUUGGUUAUGUGGAACUAAGGUAGAGCAUGUUGCCCAAGAUGGUUAUUUGUUUGAUUUGGGGAGGGGGAUAAGGAUACCCAUCGUGCAGCCCCUAUACACCCAUUGUGAAUGCUCUUAACCCUUGUGUAAGAAGGGUGCUAGGGAGGCAGAUCCCUAUGGGCCUGCAGAUGCCACUAUGGAUGCUGCUCCAGUGGAAACUAUAAAGUGGAAGUGUUUGGCUAGAGACAAAAUCCGGUCAUGUUCUGUCGCUCAUUAUGCCGUUUAAGUGUCCGGUUGAGUAUGGUCUAGUGGAGAACACCAAAAAAGCAAAGUUUGGAGAGCAAGAGGACAUCACCUCUCACGAUAUCGAGGUGGAGGCUGGGUGUCAGCUCCGCCAGGCAUCAUGAAAACCUUGUUCUGGAAUUGUCGUGGGCUUGGGAACCCGUCGACAAUCCGAGAGUUUCACCCCGAUAUUUGUUUUUUUAAGUGGAACUAAGUUAUGACAUUUGAAAAUUAUUAGAGAUCAAUUGGUAUUUUAGUUAUCUCAGUUGUUGUUGAACUAAACGCAUAUGAUCCAAUUGAAUUAGUGUGCUUCACAUUUUUCACCUUA